CUACCCUAAGCUAUAUACCUCUUGUCUUACUAUCUCUCUUUGUGUGAGCAAAGAGGUGUUGUGUGUUUUGAAUUUUAGUAAAUAUAAUAUUUAUAUAAGCAUAUAAGAAAAUAUGUCCUAGAAAUAAGAUUUAUUGGAGCUGGAGAAAUGGAUGCCUAUCUUAGGCUGCUCACAGACACCUAUAACUCUCACUCUCAGGAGAUCCAGCAUCUUUGGAUUCCUCAGACACUCAUAUGCACAGACCUAUACAUAUACACACAUACUUAAAUAUAAUAGAAUGAGUCUUUUAAAAAAUAAAAUAAAAUUCAUGGGCCAGGUGUGGUGGUGCACAUCUUUAAUCCUAGUACUUGGGAGGCAAAGGCAGACAGACCUCUGUGAAUUCAAGACCAGCCAAGACUGCAUAAUGAAGCCCACAUCUAUAAACAAACAAAUAAGGUUCUGCUCUGUAAACUGAUGACCUUUGUUUUUUUUUUUUUCCCUAAUGAAUUGUCCUCAUAAAUAAUUUUCAUCGAGGGCCAAAGAAAUAGAAACCAGGACUGAACUUAGGUCAUGCUGUAGAGAGUAGGGGUGUUCAGGGCAUUGUGAGUCAUCUUUCUAGGGGCACCCUUUGAAAUCUGGUCUCAGUCACACCCUUCAGAGAAAGAUAAGAGCACACGGAUGAAGGCCAUAGAGGAGUGAGAAGACUGUGGGGAAGCAGCAGAUGGCCAUAGGUCUGGUUCUGUCCUUUCCCGGCUUUGCAUGGGCUCUGGUGUUUCUACCAAAAGUCUCGAGUGGGUUGACCUUGGUCUCUGUGGGUCCCCUGGUGUCUGUUGCUGGUUACAGUACAAGUAGAUGGACCGUGACAUGUCAUGAUUUAUGAGAGAAGAUACAGAAGGCUUGAUCGGAAGUCCCACUAUGAUGUGUUUAUCUAAAUGGUCUCAAAUGUUCUGGCUUCUUUCUUUAAUCUCUUGCCCUUUGUCUUAGCCCCUUCCCUUACUUUAAGCUCAAGUUUAUAUGCAACUAUUCUAUAGCUUUAGUAAGUGUUGGGGGGGGGGGCAUUGACAUUCCAUAGUGAACAUGUGGAAGUCAGAGGACAACUCACAAAAGUUCUCUUCUUAACGCCUUGUUGGUCGUAGGGGUUGCAACUGGGUCAUCAAGCUUGGCCGCAAGCCCCUGGACUUACUGAGCCAUCUCGUUCACUCUGCUUUUGAAUUCUUAUCACACAGGUCAUGAAUUUUCUUUUCUCCUGAUCUAUGGGAGAGUUGCUUUAACAGAAGAAAGUCCUCUAAGUUUGCAGGAUCCAACAUGGCAGCCCUUCCCUUUCUCUUCCCUUUGUACCUCUGCCUCUGACAAAUUACAUACACCACAGCAAAGGGCAAAGCCCUUUGUCAUGUUGCCCCGGCAACAGCUUCAUGGACUGCUUUAGUUGUCUUAAGAUAACUACAGCCUGGGAAAGAACAUCUGCAUGGAAAAUGAGCUAGACACCCUGGGUCCAUGGAGGCCACAGCCACAGAGGCAGGUAGCCAGCAGCUCUUGUUUUUCUCCACGCAGAUCUUAGCUUAAGACAGGUGUUUCUCUGAAUUCUGUAUCCUGGUGAUUUGUCACCUCUGCCGAAUGACAGAUGGCUGUGGUGUGACCAUGGUGAAAGUGCGGUAGGAUGGGUUCCCACUUGGAAGCAGGCCUUUCCUAACAUCAUCUUUCCUUUCCUUGUCGUCAUCUGGACAUUCUGGCCAACCGCCUAUGCCAGAACUCUCAGAAGAGCCCUGCUUCACAUCAUUUAGACUUGCUGGGACCCUGGUCAGUCUUGGGAUGGUUGGCCCAGGAGUGUCACCAUGGUCCUCAUAGGGACCUGAGGCGGUCCUUUCCUCUUUGCUCGGCAUCCAGCUCCUUUUAAACUAUGUGUUAUAGGGUACUGACUCACUUUUAACGUAGAUAAGGUUUUGUUGUAAGAGAAGAAAAAGAGGAACCAGAUGUGGUAGAAUACACCUGUAGUCGUCACGUCAUUCAGUGGGUCAUGGGAAGAGGACACUGAGUUUGAGGCCAGCCGAGGCUACAUAGUAAAGAUCUUAUUCCAAGACAAAAUGGAACAACAACC
rnacentral:lncRNA from 1 species